CUUGGCCUCGCCUGGUGUGGGCUGUAAUUAGGUCAGUGUAAGUUAAAGUAGGGCUGAGAGAUGAAUAAAGUAGAUUUUCUCCUCUGGAACACUCUGCAGUUUAAUUUCACUUCUUUCUACAAUGUGCGAUGAAGGUGGACUUAACUUUUAAAGGCAAAGAGACAAACCACUGCCAGGAUAAAUGAAAAGACGUAGAGGGGGCGGCUGGCACCAUACAGAAGAGGAAAUGCUUUCUGGCUGGUUCCUAAUUUUCAUAUCCGGGUCAUCGUCAGAAAUCAUUUUCAGAGGAAAGAUUAAGAUUCUCUUAGUGAUCUUGAAAGAACAAUUCUCAACUUUAUAUGGAGAAACAAAAGACCCAGGAUACCCAAAACAACCCUGUACAAUAGAGGAACUUUUGGAGGCAUCUCCAUCCCUGACUUCAAGCUUUAUUACAGAGCUGUACUCCUGAAAACAGCUUGGUAUUGGCACAAAAAAAGACAGGUAGACAAAUGGAAUAGAGUUGAAAAUCCUGAUAUUAACCCACGCACAUAAGAACACCUGAUUUUUGACAAACAAUCCAAAUAUAUACGCUGGAAGAAAGAGAACAUCUUCAACAAAUGGUGCUGACAUAACUGGAUGCAAACAUUUAGAAGACUACAGAUAGAUGCAAGCCUCUCAGCCUGCACAAAACUUAAGUCAAAAUGGAUCAAAGAUCUCAACAUAAAUCCAGCCACACUGAACCCACUAGAAGAUAAAGUGGGAAAUACUCUUGAAUUAAUCGAUACAGGAGACUGCUUCCUGUACAUAACACCAGUAGCACAGACACUGAGAUCAAAAAUUAAUAAAUGG
rnacentral:lncRNA from 1 species